rnacentral:rRNA from 1 species
AUGGCCCGAUCUACAAAAAGAGUUUGGUGGCAUCUAGUGGCUCUACAUGGCGAUCUAAUCGCCGCCAUAGGUGCUUCACGGUCUGACAUGAGGAAAAAAGAGGCAUUGCAUCCCGUGGCUCUACAUGGCGAUCAAAUCGUCGCCACGGAUGUGUUACGGUUUGAUAUAAAAAAUAAAAAGGAACGUUAUAACAUCUCGCGGCUCUACCUGACGCUUCAAUCGUCGCCGCAGACAUUUCAUGGCCAAGUGAUUUUCAAGCAUUUUGGGUUUAUCCAUCAGUUAAGGCUAUGGAUUCAUGUUGAUAGACAAAACUAUAUAUAG